CGACAUUUAUAAUCAGAGGAUAUGCAGAGAUGGCAGGCAGUGCAAGAGUCCUGCAGCAGAAGACGCCACAGACGGCCAUCAGGAGGAGCGUCUGACAGCUGCUCAGUGAAAUCAUGUCUUUCUGCAGACAUUUAAACCAGGGUAAACAUUUCCAGAUUUGCAGAUUGCUUGUGCAGUUACUGACCUCUUGAACAUCUGGAGGUAAAAACUCAACCAGAGGGGGCCUUUCAGGUGGUUUCUCAUUUUU